rnacentral:rRNA from 1 species
UACGGAGGGUGCGAGCGUUAUCCGGAUUCACUGGGUUUAAAGGGUGCGUAGGUGGGAAUGUAAGUCAGUGGUGAAAUCUCUGAGCUUAACUCAGAAACUGCCAUUGAUACUAUGUUUCUUGAAUUUUCUGGAGGUCAGCGGAAUAUGUCAUGUAGCGGUGAAAUGCUUAGAUAUGACAUAGAACACCAGUUGCGAAGGCAGCUGGCUACAGGGAUAUUGACACUGAGGCACGAAAGCGUGGGGAUCAAACAGG